rnacentral:rRNA from 1 species
UACGUAGGGUGCGAGCGUUGUCCGGAAUUAUUGGGCGUAAAGAGCUCGUAGGCGGUUUGUUGCGUCGGCCGUGAAAACCUGCAGCUUAACUGUGGGCCUGCGGCCGAUACGGGCAGACUAGAGUGCGGUAGGGGAGACUGGAAUUCCUGGUGUAGCGGUGGAAUGCGCAGAUAUCAGGAGGAACACCGAUGGCGAAGGCAGCUCGCUGGGACGGUACUGACGCUGAGGCGCGAAAGCGUGGGGAGCGAACAGG